GUGGGCUUGGAUAAUGGCUGCUUGUCGGAUCCUAACCAGACCGGCUCGGCUGAAAUACACAAGCGACCCAACUGAAAGAGACGGCUUGACUCGGCGUAAUAACUAUUAUCGCUGAGGACGUCCCCUUCUCCGUGGCGCUUCUAAUGCACAUCAUUUAAGCUUUAGACCUCAAAUCAGGCAGGACUACCCGCUGAACUUAA
rnacentral:misc_RNA from 1 species